rnacentral:rRNA from 1 species
CGAGCCGUCGGAACUGGCAGUCUUGAGUGGGCGAGAAGUAUGCGGAAUGCGUGGUGUAGCGGUGAAAUGCAUAGAUAUCACGCAGAACGCCGAUUGCGAAGGCAGCAUACCGGCGCCCGACUGACGCUGAGGCACGAAAGCGUGGGGAUCGAACAGGAUUAGAUACCCUGGUAGUCCACGCAGUAAACGAUGAGCGCUAACUGUCCGGAGCGAGUGAGCUCUGGGUGGUACAGUGAAAACGUUAAGCGCUCCACCUGGGGAGUACGCCGGCAACGGUGAAACUCAAAGGAAUUGACGGGGGCCCGCACAAGCGGAGGAACAUGUGGUUUAAUUCGAUGAUACGCGAGGAACCUUACCCGGGCUCAAACGUAAGCGGAAUAACGGUGAAAGCCGUUAGCUAUUUAUAGCCGCUUACGAGGUGCUGCAUGGUUGUCGUCAGCUCGUGCCGUGAGGUGUCGGCUUAAGUGCCAUAACGAGCGCAACCCCCAUCGCCAGUUGCUAACAGGUAAUGCUGAGGACUCUGGCGAGACUGCCGGCGCAAGCUGCGAGGAAGGCGGGGAUGACGUCAAAUCAGCACGGCCCUUACGUCCGGGGCGACACACGUGUUACAAUGGCAGGUACAGAGAGAAGCCAUCCCGCGAGGGAGAGCGGAACUUGAAAGCCUGUCUCAGUUCGGAUUGGAGUCUGCAACCCGACUCCAUGGAGCUGGAUUCGCUAGUAAUCGCGCAUCAGCCACGGCGCGGUGAAUACGUUCCCGGGCCUUGCACACACCGCCCGUCAAG